rnacentral:lncRNA from 1 species
CACACUGUUUCUUCUAAGAUUUUAUUACAUUACAAUAUAAAUGACAACCUAAGUAGAACUGUCCUGGGAAUGCGAAGGAUAGUGCUUCUACUUAAGAAGGAAGGGUGUGGACAAAUGGUUAAUUAAUGCCAUAGUGUUUUUUACAAACAUGUUAGGCAAAACCCACUCUGAACGGUAACAAUGAUUGUAACUUAAAAAGUUAGAGACUUUCCUGACUGAAUCCGUGGACCGGUCUUCAUCCUUUCUUCAGUCCAGGUCUGCCAUUAUCAUUAUCAUUGUGUUUUUCCCAUAGAAAGAAAGGCUGAAAGAUGACCCAUUACUAGUCACAGCACGUUGCUCUCACUGAUUGGAAAGCAGUCACACAACAACAAGCAUUUAUUCUGUUUACUGAGAUGUAACACCAAGGAACAGCAAUUCACACCUGCGGUGAAGUUGUUAUACUUCCCAUUUCUUUUUUUUUUUUUUUUUUAUAUAUUCUAUUUUUAUCCUUCAUUUUUCCUGUCUCGUUUUGCCUUUUUUUUUUUUCUUUUUUAAUCUUCUCUGCCUCUUGUUCCCCCACUUUUAUGAUGGGUGUCAGUGCCAGUCUUGACACUUACCUUAAACCUGAAAUGAAGGAUAAACGGUCAGUGGUACAUUUUUCAGCUAUUAAAUGGGUAUUGCCCUAGUUGUAAUUGAUGACUUUUCUGUAGGGCAAUCAGCUUAAAUGUCUGGCUAAUAUAUGAAGUAUAUAUAAAAAUGCAUGUAUAUUUAUCUACAUGUAUAUAGCUUAGAUCCAAAUCACAUCAUGGGCUGUGGAAUUUAGAGUUGUGUUAUAUCAUACUAUAUUGUGUUAUAUCAUACUAUAUAUCCUCCAAAAAUAAAGGGUAUGACUGGAGACCAGCAAGGGAAAAUACCAGAAAAUAAUCUGUAUCUGUGAAUCACUGAUUCAUUCACCAAAUCACAGAAUAUUUGAUUUAUUUUUUUUCCCCAGAACAUUUGUACUAGACAAGGUAAAACGUAACUGGAAAACACUGCAGUGUUGUAAUAAUCUUGGCGCACUCCUUAGAAGAAAGAAAAAAAAAAAAGGGUAUGCAGGUUUAAUGAAGAAAAUUGCCCUGGCUACAAUGGGGAUUACCUGUUACAUCAACAGUUAUUUUGGCAGAGCUCAGUGUGGCCAGUGGAUCUUGGAUGCUCCUGAAAUCAUAACAUGUACACGCUGUGUGGUGUGA